GGUUUCAUAGCCUCAGUUAGUAGAGCAUCGCACCAGUUAGGUGGAAGUCAUGGGUUCAUAUCCCGUUGAAGCCC